UUAUGGCUCAGGAUGAACGCUAGCUACAGGCUUAACACAUGCAAGUCGAGGGGCAUCGGGGAUCUAGCUUGCUAGAUCUGCCGGCGACCGGCGCACGGGUGAGUAACGCGUAUCCAACCUUCCCCCCAGUAGGGCAUAGCCCGGCGAAAGUCGGAUUAAUACCCUAUGUUGUGUCAUGAGGACAUCUGAAUAACACCAAAGAUUUAUCGCUGGGGGAUGGGGAUGCGUCCGAUUAGGUUGUUGGCGGGGUAACGGCCCACCAAGCCCGCGAUCGGUAGGGGUUCUGAGAGGAAGGUCCCCCACACUGGUACUGAGACACGGACCAGACUCCUACGGGAGGCAGCAGUGAGGAAUAUUGGUCAAUGGGCGAGAGCCUGAACCAGCCAAAGUAGCGUGCAGGACGACGGCCCUACGGGUUGUAAACUGCUUUUUCGGGAGGAUAAAGGACGUCACGUGUGGCGUUUUGCAGGUAUCCCGUGAAUAAGGACCGGCUAAUUCCGUGCCAGCCGCGGC
rnacentral:rRNA from 1 species